rnacentral:rRNA from 1 species
UUGACCUUCCAUCAUAAUGUAGGCGAUGAUUCAGAGACGAGUCGUGGGUCUUGGCAUAGUUUCGUAGGUGGGCAUAUAUUGGGUCAAGAUGACCAUGACUCACACCCACAACUAAGCCACAUACUUUAGAACAGAAACUUCGAGCAUAUGUUACCCUGGCCAACCCCCAUGUUACCCCAUCUUAUCGCGAAUACGCCUACCGCGGAGGGGGGCACGGACAGCUGUAGAAAAUUUCUCAUUCCGCAAUGGGCGAAAGCCUGACGGAGCCCCAAGCCGCGUGGAGGUCGAAGGCCACGGGGUGUGAACUUCUUUUCCCGGAGAAUGAAGCAAUGACGAUUAUCGGGGAAUAGAGCAUCGGCUAACUCUGUGCGCAGCAGCCGCGGUAAGACAGAGGAUGGCAAGCGUUAUCCGAAAUGAUUGGCGUAAAGCGUCUGUAGGUGGCUUUAAGUCGCGUCAAAUCCCAGGGCUCAACGCCUGGACACGGCGUGGAAACUACCAAACUAGUAGGGUAGGGCAGAGGAAUUCCGGUGGACGGCGGUGAAAUGCGUAGAGAUCGGAGAAGCACCCAACGGCGAAAGCACUCUGCCCUGGGCGACAACCUGACACCUGAGAACGAAAGCUAUGGAGCGAAAUGGAUAGAUACCCCAGUAGUCCUGCCGUAAACGAUGGAGUCCUAGGCCGCUGUGCGUAUCGACCCGUCAGUGUUGAGGCUAAACGCAUUAAGUAUCGCCUGGGAGUACGUUCGCAGAAUGAAACUCAAAGGAAGUGACGGGGCCCGCACAAGCGGUGGACGCAUGCGUGGUUUAAUUCGAUGCCAAAGCGAAGAACCCUUACGCAGCGGCUUGACAUGCCGCGAUCCUCUUGAAAGAGAGGCGUGCGCCUUCGGGAACGGCGACACAGUGUGCAUGGCGUCGUCAGCUCGUGCCGUAAGGUGUUUGGUUAGAAGUCCCGCACGAGACCGCAACCCUCGUGUAGUUGCCACGUGAGUUUGGAACCUGACCAGACGCCGUGAUAAGCCGAGAAGGUGGAUGACGUCAAGUCAUCCAUGGCCCCUUAUGCCCUGGGCGACACACGUCGGGCUACCAAUGGCCAGGGACAAAGGCGCGAAAUCCGCGAGGGUGAGCAACCCGCAAAAACCCGUCCUCAAGUUCGGAUUGCAAGCUGCAACCCGCCUGCAUGAAAGGCCCGGAAAUCGAGAGUAAACCUAUUUUUAACCCUAAAAGAUUUCGCCCACGGUCAGCUAAUCACUAGGCUAUAUCCCUGCCGCCUCGACAUCAUUUCGCUCCCCUCGACGCGUUCGCCGUUCGCGCACAGUCU